rnacentral:rRNA from 1 species
AUUGAACGCUGGCGGCAGGCCUAACACAUGCAAGUCGAGCGGAUGAAGGGAGCUUGCUCCUGGAUUCAGCGGCGGACGGGUGAGUAAUGCCUAGGAAUCUGCCUGGUAGUGGGGGAUAACGUCCGUAAACGGGCGCUAAUACCGCAUACGUCCUGAGGGAGAAAGUGGGGGAUCCUCGGACCUCACGCUAUCAGAUGAGCCUAGGUCGGAUUAGCUAGUUGGUGGGGUAAAGGCCUACCAAGGCGACGAUCCGUAACUGGUCUGAGAGGAUGAUCAGUCACACUGGAACUGAGACACGGUCCAGACUCCUACGGGAGGCAGCAGUGGGGAAUAUUGGACAAUGGGCGAAAGCCUGAUCCAGCCAUGCCGCGUGUGUGAAGAAGGUCUUCGGAUUGUAAAGCACUUUAAGUUGGGAGGAAGGGCAGUAAGUUAAUACCUUGCUGUUUUGACGUUACCAACAGAAUAAGCACCGGCUAACUUCGUG